GAGGUUAAGCGACUAAGCGUACACGGUGGAUGCCCUGGCAGUCAGAGGCGAUGAAGGACGUGCUAAUCUGCGAUAAGCGCCGGUAAGGUGAUAUGAACCGUUAUAACCGGCGAUUUCCGAAUGGGGAAACCCAGUGUGACUCGUCACACUAUCAUUAACUGAAUCCAUAGGUUAAUGAGGCGAACCGGGGGAACUGAAACAUCUAAGUACCCCGAGGAAAAGAAAUCAACCGAGAUUCCCCCAGUAGCGGCGAGCGAACGGGGAGGAGCCCAGAGCCUGAAUCAGCAUGUGUGUUAGUGGAAGCGUCUGGAAAGGCGCGCGAUACAGGGUGACAGCCCCGUACACAAAAGCGCAUGUGCUGUGAGCUCGAUGAGUAGGGCGGGACACGUGGUAUCCUGUCUGAAUAUGGGGGGACCAUCCUCCAAGGCUAAAUACUCCUGACUGACCGAUAGUGAACCAGUACCGUGAGGGAAAGGCGAAAAGAACCCCGGCGAGGGGAGUGAAAAAGAACCUGAAACCGUGUACGUACAAGCAGUGGGAGCACCCUUUGGGGUGUGACUGCGUACCUUUUGUAUAAUGGGUCAGCGACUUAUAUUCUGUAGCAAGGUUAACCGAAUAGGGGAGCCGGAGGGAAACCGAGUCUUAACCGGGCGUUAAGUUGCAGGGUAUAGACCCGAAACCCGGUGAUCUAGCCAUGGGCAGGUUGAAGGUUGGGUAACACUAACUGGAGGACCGAACCGACUAAUGUUGAAAAAUUAGCGGAUGACCUGUGGCUGGGGGUGAAAGGCCAAUCAAACCGGGAGAUAGCUGGUUCUCCCCGAAAGCUAUUUAGGUAGCGCCUCGUGAAUUCAUCUCCGGGGGUAGAGCACUGUUUCGGCUAGGGGGCCAUCCCGGCUUACCAACCCGAUGCAAACUGCGAAUACCGGAGAAUGUUAUCACGGGAGACACACGGCGGGUGCUAACGUCCGUCGUGAAGAGGGAAACAACCCAGACCGCCAGCUAAGGUCCCAAAGUCAUGGUUAAGUGGGAAACGAUGUGGGAAGGCCCAGACAGCCAGGAUGUUGGCUUAGAAGCAGCCAUCAUUUAAAGAAAGCGUAAUAGCUCACUGGUCGAGUCGGCCUGCGCGGAAGAUGUAACGGGGCUAAACCAUG
rnacentral:rRNA from 1 species